GACGAACGCUGGCGGCGUGCCUAACACAUGCAAGUCGAGCGAGGAAAUUCCUUCGGGAGUUUCCUAGCGGCGGACGGGUGAGUAACACGUGGGCAACCUGCCUCGAAGAGGGGGAUAGCCUCCCGAAAGGGAGAUUAAUACCGCAUAAUAUCAGUUUAUCGCAUGAUUAACUGAUUAAAGGAGAAAUCCGCUUCGAGAUGGGCCCGCGGCGCAUUAGCUAGUUGGUGAGGUAACGGCUCACCAAGGCGACGAUGCGUAGCCGACCUGAGAGGGUGGUCGGCCACAUUGGGACUGAGACACGGCCCAGGCUCCUACGGGAGGCAGCAGUGGGGAAUAUUGCACAAUGGGGGAAACCCUGAUGCAGCAACGCCGCGUGAGUGAUGAAGGCCUUCGGGUUGUAAAGCUCUGUCUUCAGGGACGAUAAUGACGGUACCUGAGGAGGAAGCCACGGCUAACUACGUGCCAGCAGCCGCAGUAACAC
rnacentral:rRNA from 1 species